GGGCUUAAUCCAUACCAGUGUCUUCCCAGCACUAAACACUGAGAUAUGUGAACUCCUUAACUUGGGACAGCAACUCGUUCCUAACGUGAAGGAUAAUUCUCCACUGUUUUCUGGCAGAGUACCAUGGCCUAAGCUGCUUCACAGUGCAAACUACCUAGUGCACACUAACAGUCAAAGGUCAGAGAAGCAAGUGGGACUACAUAAUCGGCAGAAGGCACAGAUACCAUCCUGAGGUCACCGAAGUGGAAACUCUCCACUCCUGAGCUGCACGUUGAGAUUCUGUCCAUAGUCUAAGUGAGAAGGGACAGCCUUGGCCAAACUCACCCCAUAGGAUGCAAGCCAAAAAAUACAUCAUGAACCACUUCCCCAUGGGAGCCUGAGUGUCACAGAGUUUUAUGGAGAGGUCAUUAGUCACAGCAUGCUUCAUACAUCCAGUUUGGACAGACAGCUGCACUGGGUGUGGUUGGCAACACUGAUGGUCACUGGCCUGGUGCCUUGGGUGAUCGGCACCAUGAUCUCAAACAGCUGCGGAAAGUGAAAAAGAUUGAAGAGUCAGACAAGCUGAAUCAAGACAAGGUGCAAAGACCAUAGUGCAGUGCACUAUGAGGAAUGACAGUGUACUUUAUGUUUUUGUCAUGGGGAGCAGCAGACAAGGAAAUUACUAAAGUGACAGUUAAAUAACAAGAAAUAAAAAUAAUAGUAAAGAAAAUCUAAUUUAGCGGAUCGUCUUUUUGUCUUUUAAACAAGUUUGCCUUCUAUAAGAAUGUAUUUACGUGUUACAAUAAU